rnacentral:rRNA from 1 species
UGCCAAACCCUAGCCCAACAUACAUGACCUGGAAUAACAAAGUCACUGACAAUACUAAACCAAAGCAUUUGCUAGUCCCAGUAUAGGCGAUAGAAAAGACACCAUUGGAGCGAUAGAGACCACGUACCGUAAGGGAAAGGUGAAAUAACAGUGAAAUAAAUAAGCUAAAAACAGCAAAGAUCAGCCCUUGUACCUUUUGCAUCAUGGUCUAGCAAGAAAAACCAAGCAAAAUGAAUUUAAGUUUGUCACCCCGAAACCCAAGCGAGCUACUUACGAGCAGCUAUUAUUGAGCGAACCCGUCUCUGUGGCAAAAGAGUGGGAUGACUUGUUAGUAGAGGUGAAAAGCCAAUCGAGCUGGGUGAUAGCUGGUUGCCUGUGAAACAAAUCUAAGUUUACUCUUAAUUCUUCUCCAAGGAAACUCAAGAACCCUAAUGAAGCGAAUUAAGGGAUAUUUAAAGGAGGUACAGCUCCUUUAAAAAAGAGUACAAUCUCGACGAGCGGAUAAAUAACCAUGAUAUUUAGUACUGUGGGCCCUCAAGCAGCCAUCAACAAAGAGUGCGUUAAAGCUCAAUACCACAAAAAUAUAAAAACAAUAUGAAUCCCUCACCACUAACGGGCUAACCUAUAUUACAAUAGGAGAAUUAAUGCUAGAAUGAGUAACCAGGGAUCCUCCCUCUUAGACGCAAGCUUACAUCCUUACAUUAUUAACAAACCACCCAUAUACGACAAAUCAAACAAGCAUAGUAUUAAUAAUAUUGUUAACCCGACAAAGGAGCGUCAACUAAGAAAGAUUAAAACCUGCAAAAGGAACUAGGCAAACCCGUCAAGGCCCGACUGUUUACCAAAAACAUAGCCUUCAGCAAACCAACAAACAAGUAUUGAAGGUGAUGCCUGCCCGGUGACUUCGUGUUAAACGGCCGCGGUAUCCUAACCGUGCGAAGGUAGCGCAAUCAAUUGUCCCGUAAAUCGGGACUAGUAUGAAUGGCUAAACGAGGUCUUAACUGUCUCUUGCAGGCGAUCGGUGAAAUUGAUCUCCCUGUUCAAAAGCAGGGAUAACCACAUAAGACGAGAAGACCCUGUGGAACUUUAAAAUCAGCAGCCACCCCGAACUACAUCCACAUCCACCCCGGGUUCACUUACAUAACGGGAAAUUGGCUAGCAUUUUUUCGGUUGGGGCGACCUUGGAGCAAAACAAAACCUCCAAAUAUGGGACCAUACCUCCAGACUAAGAGAGACAUCUCAAAGUGCUAAUAGCAACCAGAUCCAAUAUAAUUGAUCAAUGGACCAAGCUACCCCAGGGAUAACAGCGCAAUCUCCCUCGAGAGUCCAUAUCGACGGGGAGGUUUACGACCUCGAUGUUGGAUCAGGACAUCCUAGUGGUGCAGAAGCUACUAAGGGCUCGUUUGUUCAACGAUUAACAGUCCUACGUGAUCUGAGUUCAGACCGGAGUAAUCCAGGUCGGUUUCUAUCUAUGAUGAGCUCCUCCCAGUACGAAAGGAUAGGAGAAGCGAGGCCAAUACCACAAGCAAGCCUCCGCUUUAAGUAAUGAAAGCAACUAAAUUACGAAAGGCUAUCACAUACCCCACGUCCUAGAAAAGGACUAGCU